rnacentral:rRNA from 1 species
GACAGAGGGGGGCAAGCGUUGCUCGGAAUUACUGGGCGUAAAGCGUGCGCAGGCGGUUGUGCAAGACAGAUGUGAAAUCCCCGGGCUUAACCUGGGAAUUGCAUUUGUGACUGCACGGCUAGAGUGUGUCAGAGGGGGGUAGAAUUCCACGUGUAGCAGUGAAAUGCGUAGAUAUGUGGAGGAAUACCGAUGGCGAAGGCAGCCCCCUGGGAUAACACUGACGCUCAUGCACGAAAGCGUGGGGAGCAAACAGG